GUGGGGAAUAUUGGGCAAUGGGCGAAAGCCUGACCCAGCAACGCCGCGUGAAGGAAGAAGGUCUUCGGAUCGUAAACUUCUAUCCUUGGUGAAGAUAAUGACGGUAGCCAAGAAGGAAGCCCCGGCUAACUACGUGCCAGCAGCCGCGGUAAUACGUAGGGGGCAAGCGUUGUCCGGAAUGAUUGGGCGUAAAGGGCGCGUAGGCGGCCCGGUAAGUCUGAAGUGAAAGUCCUGCUUUUAAGGUGGGAAUUGCUUUGGAUACUGUCGGGCUUGAGUGCAGGAGAGGUAAGCGGAAUUCCCGGUGUAGCGGUGAAAUGCGUAGAGAUCGGGAGGAACACCAGUGGCGAAGGCGACUUACUGGACUGUAACUGACGCUGAGGCGCGAAAGUGUGGGGAGCAAACAGGAUUAGAAACCCGGGUAGUCC
rnacentral:rRNA from 1 species